GAGCAGGUGAUCCUGGAGCUGCAGCCUGACUGGGUAGCCAUGGAUGAAGCCUUUAUGGUGAAGUGCCUUGUGCCCCAUGUGGCACCCCUGAAGCACCUCACCCUUACCCUUUUCCAGGGUAACCAAGAACUGUACAGAAAGAACUUUGUGAGCUUGGCUUUGGCCCCUCAGAGAGCUGAGGUCACUCACCAUCAGUGUCACAGCCCAGAGGGAGAAUGACAGGUGCAAUUUCUCCUGUAGUGCAGAACUGGAUUUGAAUGCACAAGGUUGGGGGCUCUUUCACGGCAGCUCAGCCAUCAAGGUACUCUGGAUCUUUGGUGAGUCAAGAGUCCAGGCACGGAAGGCACCUUGGGGCUCAUUUUGUUCAUUUUGCCAUGGCCUUUGGGUCUAAGUUCCCACAGGCUGGGGUUGCGAGGCUAAUGGAGCACCAGCUGUACUUUUAGCUCAUCUUGGGAGAGAAAAAUCAUUUCCCACCUCUCCCUCCCCACAUGUCACAUGAUUGAUCGUGGCUUUUUUCUUUCUUUUUAUUUUCAUUUUCCUAAUUUCUUGGCAGAAUUCCUCAUCUGGGUCUCUUCAGUUCUGGAAGUUGGGACGGCAGAACCUGUGAGCUGCGAGGUGGCUAGGGUGUUCCCAGCCAAAGAUGUUGUAUUCUGUAUGCUUCUGGGAGGCCAGGCGCUGAGCCUCUUCCUCUCCUGGAAGGGAGGGACAGUGUGGGCCAAUGCCACUGUUCGGACCAUGGAGACUGGUGUCCAGGAGCUGUCGUGUUUUUGUAUCUCUGGGUCCAGUGGAACAGGAAACAAGGCAGCCAGUGCUUGUCUAUAGUUUCCCUCCACCAGUCCUAGAGAUAGAAGAACCAUAGCCCGCGGCAGGGACAGAUGUUAAUGUAACCUGCUCAGGGCAUAUAUUAACAUCACCCAGGCCUACUCUUAGGCUUCAAGGAUUCCCACAUCUCCCUGCCCUUGGGGAAGCUGCCUGGCUUCUAUUUACUGCCAAGGAGGAGGAUGAUAGCCGAAAUUUCUCCUGUGAGGCUGCUUUGGAGGUGCAGGGCCAGCAACUGAUUAAAACUACUGUGAUUCAGCUCCAUGUUUUAUGUGAGUAGAAGCCUGAUCUUUUUUUUUUUUUUGUCUUUUUCAUUUUUAUCGGUACCGGGGAUCGACCUCAUGACCGCCUGCUUGCAAGGCAGGUGCUUAUGCCGCUGAGCUAAAUCUCGAGCCCCUAGAAGCCUAAUCUUUUUUGUCAAAAAGGAUUAUCUUUCUAUUUCCGAGAUCUUAGCCAGUAGAGUUGCCACAUUUCCCCCCCCAACAAUAACAAUAAAAUCAAAAGGGAAAAUCAAAUGAAAACUAUCCAAGCUUACCUUGCAGCCAGGAAGUGAGUGCAUAGAGAGAUGAGGGGCAAUUGAGGCUAGAAAGGAAAGUGUUCAAGCAGCCAGACACAUCGGGUGAGAGUGGGUGGUUGUGGAGAACAUUAAAAGUGAUAGUGGAGCUGAUACGAAGGAGGGAAAUCUCCAAAACUUCCCUAUCAAAAUUUGUAUUAUGAAAAGGGAGAAAAGUCUCCAUUUCUGAGUUUGCCCCUUCCCAGCACCUUACCUGCUGAGAAGCUAAGAUAGGAAGCAGGGCUCCAGGUCCCUUUUGACAGCAGCAUGUUACCAUUUAGUGCGAAUGCAUAAAAAUACCCCGGGUUUAGCUGGACGAGGUGGCCUGUAAUCCCAGCACUUGGGAGGCUGAGGCAAGAGGAUCGUUGCAAGUUCAAGACCAGCCUGGGCUACAAAGUGAGCUCAAGGCCAGCCUGAACUGCAUAGAGAGACCCUGUCUCAAAAAAGACAAAAAACAAAACAAAACAAAACAAAACAAACAAAACCACCCCAGGUUUAAUCUCAGACUCCUUGGCCAAGUAGAAGAAAGGGAAGCUGGUGUAAGCAGGAAACUGAUAGUCUUUCCCUUGAAAAGAAAUUUGUUAAGGAAGUAGCAUUUGCUUGGGGAAGGAAAGGGAGCCAAGCAUGAAGGUUAGGAGGGAGCAGGACAUACAACAUGCUGGCUUCUUUGGGGAGUCUUUCUUUCUUUCUUUCUUUCUUUCUUUCUUUCUUUCUUUCUUUCUUUCUUCCUUCCUUCCUUCCUUCCUUCCUUCCUUUUUUUUCCAGACAAGCCAAGAUUGGAAGAAUCUGGUUGCCCUAGCAACCAGACAUGGGUAGAAGGGAAGGAGCAGAUGCUCAUUUGUGUCCCAGAGGGAAACCCAGCUCCAGCUUUAGUGUACACCUGGAAUGGGAUUAUCGUUGACCUUGACGUGCCUCAUAAGGCAGCCCAGAACCACAUUGGAAUCUACUGCUGCACAGCCACUAACCAGCUGGGCUCUGUCGGCAAAGACAUUGCUCUUACUGUUCAAGGUGACUGCUGCUGCCCUGCUGCAAGGCUUGGGAUAGAAAUCCACCAGGGGGUUGAUAAAAUCAUGGAAAGGGAGAUUUUACUGGGCUGGGGAAGGUGAGACUGAGAACUGGGAUUGGUGGGCUGAGGGGGGAUGAUUCUCUUGUCUUCGGUGCUGCCACCCCCGAUUUCUGUGUCUUCUGUGUUUUGGCCAGGAUGCAAUAAAGGAAGCAGUUACACCGUCUUCUUCAUUGUUGUUGUCCUCCUUGUGGUGGGCAUAAACACAACAGCACUGUAUUUUAACCUUGGACCCUGCAAAAUAAAGAAGAGGAAAUUGCCUUAUCAGCAGAAAGAGCAGAACAAAGUGGAGGAAAACCAGUUUGGUGUUCAACAAGCAGAAUUGUGAAACUCACAUAAUUUUUGUCUAGAAACAGGUCUUUGGGUGAAUGAGAUUUCUACUAUUGGAGCUUCUCAAGAAGGGAAGAGUAGGGGCUGGGGAUUUAGCUCAGUAGCAUAAGUGCCUGCCUAGCAAGCCUGAGUUCGAUCCCCAGUACCAAAAAAAAAAAAAAAAAAAAAAAAAAGAAGGAAGAGUAGACCAAGGAGAAAGGAAGAAACUUUGUGAGGUUUUAUUGCCCUCAUUGUUCUCCUGUUCAGGUUCCCAUGUCCUGUGUGUCCCAUCCACUGUGUGUCCCAUCUAUGUAUAUAUUUUUCUGAAUUUAAUCAGUAAGAAUUUUGGUUCCGUGUUCAAC
ensembl:lincRNA